CUUGGUCAUUUAGAGGAAGUAAAAGUCGUAACAAGGUCUCCGUAGGUGAACCUGCGGAGGGAUCAUUACAAGUGACCCCGGUCUAACCACCGGGAUGUUCAUAACCCUUUGUUGUCCGACUCUGUUGCCUCCGGGGCGACCCUGCCUUCGGGCGGGGGCUCCGGGUGGACACUUCAAACUCUUGCGUAACUUUGCAGUCUGAGUAAACUUAAUUAAUAAAUUAAAACUUUUAACAACGGAUCUCUUGGUUCUCGCAUCGAUGAGGAACGCAGCGAAUUGCGAUACGUAGUAUGACUUGCAGACGUGAAUCAUCGAAUCUUUGAACGCACAUUGCGCCUCGAGGCAUUCCUCGAGGCAUGCCUGUUUGAGCGUCGCAUCCCCUCUAACCCCCGGUUAGGCGUUGCUCCGAAAUAUCAACCGCGCUGUCAAACACGUUUACAGCACGACAUUUCGCCCUCAAAUCAGGUAGGACUACCCGCUGAAUUUAAGCAUAUCAAUAAGCGGAGGAAAAGAAACCAACAGGGAUUGCUCUAGUAACGGCGAGUGAAGCAGCAAUAGCUCAAAUUUGAAAUCUGGCGUCUUCGACGUCCGAGUUGUAAUUUGUAGAGGAUGCUUCUGAGUGGCCACCGACCUAAGUUCCUUGGAACAGGACGUCAUAGAGGGUGAGAAUCCCGUAUGCGGUCGGAAAGGCGCUCUAUACGUAGCUCCUUCGACGAGUCGAGUUGUUUGGGAAU
rnacentral:sRNA from 1 species